CUGACCUCAAUCAGGAGG
rnacentral:rRNA from 1 species